rnacentral:rRNA from 1 species
AGUGAACGCUGGCGGUAGGCCUAACACAUGCAAGUCGAACGGCAGCACAGUAAGAGCUUGCUCUUACGGGUGGCGAGUGGCGGACGGGUGAGGAAUACAUCGGAAUCUACUUUUUCGUGGGGGAUAACGUAGGGAAACUUACGCUAAUACCGCAUACGACCUACGGGUGAAAGCAGGGGAUCUUCGGACCUUGCGCGAUUGAAUGAGCCGAUGUCGGAUUAGCUAGUUGGCGGGGUAAAGGCCCACCAAGGCGACGAUCCGUAGCUGGUCUGAGAGGAUGAUCAGCCACACUGGAACUGAGACACGGUCCAGGCUCCUACGGGAGGCAGCAGUGGGGAAUAUUGGACAAUGGGCGAAAGCCUGAUCCAGCCAUACCGCGUGGGUGAAGAAGGCCUUCGGGUUGUAAAGCCCUUUUGUUGGGAAAGAAAAGCAGCAGGUUAAUACCCCGCUGUUCUGACGGUACCCAAAGAAUAAGCACCGGCUAACUUCGUG